rnacentral:tRNA from 1 species
GGGCUGUAGCUCAGUGGCAGAGCACUUGCCUAGCAUGCAUGAGACCCUGGGUUUGAUCCUCAAUAACACA